CGAGUGUGGUAUCACUGAGAACUACAUCCAGUUGGUUACACAGUCGUCUUAGCCACAGUGCAUUGCUAAACUCUGUGUUGUACUACAAUGCAGAUCUCAUACAAACCUACAACUCUCCCUCACUAACAACUGAAGAAGACUCCCAUCAGAGAGGUUAACAGAGUGAUCUACAGUCUGGGGUUAUCUCUAUGAUCUCUCCUUAUAUGUAAAUUAUUUAGAAGAGUGUGAUUCUAAAACUCAAGGUAAAAAUUCGACGCUCGCUUUUUGUUUACAUGAAUACGUGCCAGCACCUACACUUCCUCAUUCUUAUAGCAUUACAAAAAUGCCAAUACAUGAGUCUCCUGUUUAUUAUCUGGAAAAGCUUUCAACUGAAAAUCCCCACUGUGUAAUUUAUACAGGCACUUUGAGAUGUAAUAAAAAUCCCUAACCCUAA